UACGAAGGGGGCUAGCGUUGCUCGGAAUUACUGGGCGUAAAGGGAGCGUAGGCGGACAGUUUAGUCAGAGGUGAAAGCCCAGGGCUCAACCCUGGAAUUGCCUUUGAUACUGACUGUCUUGAGUGUGGGAGAGGUGUGUGGAACUCCGAGUGUAGAGGUGAAAUUCGUAGAUAUUCGGAAGAACACCGAUGGCGAAGGCAGCCCCCUGGGUCAAGAUUGACGCUCAUGCACGAAAGCGUGGGGAGCAACAGGAUUAGAGUACCCUGGAUACGUGCCA
rnacentral:rRNA from 1 species